AAAUUAAAGUAUUUUUGGUGAAUUAAUUUAAAUUUUGUGGAUUAUUUUCUGCAAAUUGUUUAUGUUUUAAGGAUGUUCAUUUUUAUUUGUGUGUGAUUCAUACAUAUAAUUAGUUCUUCCUUCGCUUCAAUUUCUUUGUGUAUUAAUUUACAAAUAAGUUGAAAUUUUAUUCUUUUUUCUUUUAACGUGAAGAUGUACGGUUUAAGUUUUAUCUAUCAAUUAUACUUCGUGUGAAAAUGUAGUAAUCAAAAUUAGUUUGCAAUAGAGCCUUAUCAUUUUCUAUCACUCAUGGACAGUUGAUAGAACUCUAUCACUUUCUAUCAUUGAUGGACGGUGAUAAAACUCUAUCACUUUUCUAUCACCGAUGGACAAUAAUUGAAGAAAAUUAAAGCUAGGUUGUCAAUGAAAAAUUUUAACCUCUUGGGUUGAAAAUAUAUUAUGUAAGCAACAUGAAGAAUCAAGAAGUUUCUUGGUUCAUCUUAUCAACAAUGUUCAAUACAAUGUAAUGGCUGGUGAUAAACAAUUCAUAGUGAAGUUGAAUUUGGGAUCUUGUAGCUGUCGAGUAUGGGAUUUCCAUGAGAUUCCAUGUUCUCAUACUCUUGUUGUUCUUCGGAUGCUUAACCUAAAUACUUAUUAUUAUGUGUCUGAUUAUAAUCACUCACAAACAUUUUUGUCAUCAUAUUUGGGUUGUGUGUGACAAGAUGUAGUACUUGUCAUGGAAAGGGUCAUAAUUCUAGAACUUGCAAACUUGGUCAAAUUAAACAAUGAUAUACUCAUUAUAGUUGCAUUUUUUUGUUGCAUCGCCAAAUGAAUUUAUAUUGAAAUUUACGAGUGUUA